AUCAGAUUAAGACAAGAUUCAUACUUUUAGCUGCUUCCACUGAUCAGAAAACAUAGGAGAUGUGAGGUUCCCUUGCUGAACACAGCGUGCCUGGCUUGAGACUUAUUUCUUUGUGGCUGAAAAAGGCAAAGAUGGACAAUGACACAGAGAAAGCAUUGCAGACACCGUUACUUGCCAGUAGUGCUCGGUAUACCAAACACUCAUGCAAAGGACACACAGGGAUUUUGAAAAUGCUGCACAUCCUGUAACAAUCGACUCCCCAGAGACAUUAUUGACACUAUUUUGUAUCGAAGGCCAAAGUUCCUCGUUUCAGCCUAACUUCUGGUUCUGUGAAGAAGCGAGUUAUUGGACAUGUUUCCUACUGCCUCCAGUGGAAGUGGAGACGUUCGAUACGUGCUAUCUGAGACCCUUGCAGGGGAAAGGCCCCAGAUUUGAGUGGGAACGUUUUCACCUUCUCGUUGGCUGAAGAACAGUAAAUGGCAAACUAAAUAAAAUCUAACAGUGUGACCUUAAUUUACUGAAUUCACAUCCUGUUUUACGUUCUUCACGUUUUUCAAGAACAGAAAACAUAAACCGCUCUGCAUAGGAAUAGUGUAUUUCAGAGUUUUGUAACUAAACCUUUGUCACAAUGCAGUCCAAAGAGUAAAACCAAGACAGGUAACUAAUUUAUAUUGAUCAAGCUAUGGAGAUUGUUGAGAUCUGCACAUUGUAUUGCUAUUUAAGUAACUAAAACAUCUCUUUUACUGCUUGUGAGUCAAAAUGACAGAAAGAAAUGCAGCAAAGCAAAAUCUUACAGCUAUGCAACUUUUUUUAAAAUAGGAAAAAGAAAAGAAUUACCAAUUUUAAGUGCUGCCAGUUAAGGUAAUUUGUUCAACGGGUAUUUUUUUAAAAACGUUUCAGGUAAUUAUUUUAUUGUACUACUCUCAUCUCCCGGCUGCCUCCUGAGGUGUAAAUGAAUAACUGCAAAUGUGGGCACAGUGAGAGGUUUUUAUAGGCAUGGGUGAGAUACCAGCGAGGUGGGAUUUGUGUUUAUUUUUCAAACGUGCACAAGUUCAUGUUUCCUUGUUUGAAUGUUUUUUUGGUGGCAGGAUCUGUAAUACUUUGCAUCUAAACCCUUGGUGUCUUCAUGUGGAGACCAGCGUUUGACAGUGUAGGUUUUCAUUUAGUUUGGGUUCUUUCUCUCUCUUUCUCCCUCUUUCUCUUUUUCUUUUUUUUAAAUGCAUCUGCAUUUGUUUAAUUUAUUAUUAUUUUACUGUAUUAUAUUGGUAUACCAGAGCUCCACAAAACACAGGAUGUCUCUGGGUGGGUACACCGAGUAAAACUGUGGAUAUGUAUUAGUUCCCACAAAGUAUCACAGUUAAAAUAGGUUUUUUUUAAAAAAAAAUACAAUAAACUGGAACAGAUAUCAGGGUUUAGAAGCAUACUUUUUAUAUCAAGAAUUAAUUGUAGUAGUUUUGAAUUUCACAACACAGGGAAGAGUUUAUGAAUAUUUAUUAGCAACAGUAUUCUUAGUGAGGUUUCAGUAGUUAAAAUAAGUUGCACAAUACUUCAGACAUUUUUCUUGUACAUAAAUAAUUCUGGUUGGAUUUUUGGGGGGGUUUUGUUUUGGUUUUUUUUGGUUUGGGUUUUUUUUUUGGUUGGUUUGGUUUUUUUUUACACACUUCUCUCUGUUGCUGCUGUUAUUUAUAUCAAAAAGGGCAAAGAACAGGAGCAACUGCUGCUAUAUGGAGAACAAGUGCAGUGCAUGUUCCUAAACUCUCCCAUCUUGCUUGAAGAGCAAUUCUUCCCUGGAUUACAUUUUCUCCUGAAUGUUGCUCUGUAAAAUGCCUUUGUUACGCUGCAAAUCUAAAGGAUUCCAAACUAGAUAAUUGUCAUAAUUGCCAGUGCAGUUUCUACACUUUUGGGCUUGUAUCACUGGUUUCAGCUGAACCUGUAAGCUAUGGGGGGCCCUGUUGAGUUCUCUUUUUCAGUGGGAGCAGAAUCAUUUUGUCACACCUUUGAUUCUGUAGUCACAUCAAAUGUACAGUCAUUCCCUGUACAGAGUCCUUUUUCAAUGAGAAUAUUUGUGUUGCCUUGUAUUAUCUUGGGGGAGGGAGGGAGGGGGUGAGGAGUUACAGCACAUGUAAUACUCAAAUAGUGGUGUUGCCUGCAGGCCCAUUUUCCCAAUUUUUUAAACUCCUGAUACCUACUGAAAGUAAAACUUUUCCACUUGCAUUGAUUUAAUGUUUGCUGUUGGCUUCAUGCCUACAGAAACUCACCUGUAGUCAUGUAAAGGGGGUAGGUCGGUGUUUUGAUGUCCUGUGCUCUGAGGUCAUAGAUAGUCUUUGGCUUGAGGGUUAAGUAGGUAAAUACAACAAACUUAAAUCUGUUUACAACUUGAGCUCAGUUUUAGUAGUUUGUACUUGUAGUUCACUUACUGUUUCCUUGAAAACCUUCAUUUUCUGUAUUCAGAUGGAAGUAGAUUUAAAGACCCAGCAGUUAGGACUAUUGUCCCGUGUUUAGGAACAGUGUUGGAAAAGCAGGUCACUAGUCAUUGCACUGGUGAUGCUUUUGCAGGCAGGAGUUCAUCGCUGCUUCCAUCAGCACAGUAGAGCAGCAAUUCCUUGGAUUGUUUAAGGAACUGAUGCAAGGUCAGCCUUAGUUUGACGUUCUUGGUAUCUAUAAAUCUCCUCUGAAAGACUACGGGAGGUUUUCUUGUAUUGAAACCUGUAACAUAGACCAAGCCUGGAAUGACCCUGGAAGCAUGAGGGCGAUGCUUGGGUUUGAAAACACCUGUGGAAACUCACCUAGGUAAGCUUUCUGUCACCAUCAGCUGGUGAUAACUGUGCUGUAGGCACAGCUCUAGACACAGACAACACCUUCAUUUUGAAAAUGUCCUCACAGGGGUGUCGACUCAUUGUGCUUCAGAAGGGAAAAAUAAACACCAAACAAGUCCUGUGUCUCAAACAAGGAACACCACACUUGUCCACAAGAAGCAAUAACUUCAAUUUCGGUGCGAUAUGCUUCUUUGCCUGUAAAUAUCUUGAGAUUGCCAAUUCUGUGCUGUUUCAGAGUAUUUUCUGUCAUCUGGCCUAUAUCUUCCCUAAGUGUGUAAGGGUGUGAAAUAAUUCCCAUACUCAGGUCUGCCAUAAACAUGCUGCUUGCCAGCAGGGGAAGAGUAGAUUUGACACUGUCUUGAAAUGUGUGAUUUUUCUGAACUUGUAGCAUACCCAUGUCUCUUCAGUAGCAACUUGUGUUUUGAAGUUCAUAGUGGAGGUGGCUGUGAGUUGGAUUGUAUGUAACCAUACCCCAUACAAUAACAAGGGAGUCAAGACUGCUGGCAGCACAGGGCACCCUUUGUCCUGGCUCUUGUCAGUAUAUCUAUAAUAAUGCUUCCCUUUGGAAGGAGGUAGCUCAUUUUCUUUCAGUGUAUACAUUCAGCAAUGAGUUGAGUGGGAUGUAAAAGCAAAAAUACAAAGCACACCACAAAUGAUUGGUAUUUUAUUUUUGGAAGGGAUAAAGCCAAAACCAGAUGGUCUUAUUUGUAGUCAAGUUAGCUGUCAUAAUCAAGGGUAAGUGUACUGGGGUAUUUUGGAAUGGAAAACAUGUAGGCAAUGUACAGAAAUGUGGGUGGAUAGUUGUGACCUUGGUUUUUUCCCAGCUUCCCCCCUUAUGAUGUUAAGGGACUUUUUGACUGAAUCUCAAAUUUAUCUUAUCCUGCUUCUUAAUUUUAGGAGCACUGGGCUUUUAAUUAAGCUUUUCUGAAAGGCUGGAGAGCUGCUAAAACAGACUCCCAGGAGACUGAAAUCUCAGCAAAUAUGGGAAAGAAUUUUUUUUUCAGAAACGUGGAUCUUUGGUGUUUCUGGAGGGAUAUGUCUAAUACACAAGGUGUGCUUAAGAAUACUUGUAGUGCGCUACCUUUUCUAUGUGAGGGCUUUAGAAACUUGCUCCAUUUCUUCCAUGUUCUACCAAAAGCAAGGAACUUGAAUGUUACUAUUCUCUCUUUGUAAAUGGUAGCAAAACAUGCUGGUUUUGAUACAGGUAGUGAUCUCUCUGAGUUUCUGUGGCUUUUAGCUGCUUUCCUGUAUUGAAAGAGUAUUUGUGUGCAAAUGUGGUAUUAAUUCUGCUCUGCAGUUGGGAGUUUCCUGCUGAGAGAACGCCUGGGAGUGUACAAGUGCUACUGUGGGAUCUUCCAGCUCACCUUUGCCAGUGGAAGAUUCUCUUUUUUUGAUGAUUCACUUUCCACCCUUCCAAGCUUAAAAGUCAUUUUGGUAUCAAUUUCUUCUCCGCCUAGCUGAAGACAAAGAUGUAUGUUAGGCCAUAUUCCCACAUGAUUAGGCUUUUCAUUGGCAUGAGCAAAAGUGAUGUGAGAGGUUGUAACUGUAAGAGAAGGCUUGUUACAGGUUUCCUACAGUCCAGCCAAAUGUGUUUUUUUUCAUGCAGCUCCUACCACUUCUUGUCAUUCAAAACACUCUGCGAGAGAAAUUCACAACAGAACUAUGUCCAGGAUUUGUUUCCUGUACAGAAAAUGUGUGAUGUUUCUGCUUCUCCACAUAAGUUACCCUGCUCCUAAAAUCAAGUUGGAGAUGUUUUAGCCUGUUGGGGGUUAAGAAAACCAACCCAGUCCAUACUCUCAAAUUACAUUUGGUUAUCUUACUCCACAAUUGUAGGCUGGCUUCCCAAGCUGCUUGUGUUCUGUAAAGUCAUGUCUCAAUUAGGACAUCAGAGCUGAUGAUGGGAUAAGCUGUAAAAUGACCUCACUGUGGGGCAUUAUUAGUUGUUGAAGAGUUGCUCAGGUAAACCACCAUAGGAAUAUCCUGCACCUGAAAAAGGCUGGACUUGGUUCUGUCUUGGAUCUAAUAAGUUGGCAGUGUACAAGAAGUAGAAGGCAGCCAGCCCACUCACUGAUCUUUCUGGCAGCUUUUAAUCUAUGUGUGUUUGUUUGAGAGACUUUUGCCCUUGGGUGUGCUUUGGCAAAGAUUUUGCAACGAUAAAUAGGAUUUGCUCGAUUUUGGCAGAGUUUCAAGUGUAAGUAACCCGACAUUGCAAGAACAUAAUCUGUUGCUGAAUCCUGUUCCUCUUGUUUUCCCUCAAAUCUGUCCCUUUUAAUGCUGAUAUAUGAUAUUUCAUAGUAAACACUUCUCAACAUGACUGGUCACAAGCUCUCAAGGUGUGAAAUUCUAAGAGGAAGAGACAUCAAAGGUUGAUUCUGUGCUCUUGUAUAUAUGAAAAUGAGGCUGGAAUAUUUGUUACCAUACAGUGAAGAAUUUUCCCCUAGCUGAUAUUGCCAAAGCACUGUAACUUUCAAGGAAGAAGGGAGGUGGCUUAGCUGUAGAGGGGAUACUUUAAUGAACUACGUAAAAACUUCUUGUAACAAAUUUUAAGAGCUGUGGUGUGGCACUGAAUGAGUGGUGAUCCAGCAUUAACCUUUAUCCCUUGAUUACAAAUCUCAUUCUGACUCUUCCUACCCUUUGGCAGAUACCUGCUGGUAGGGAGCAGGAUGUGUACUCCCUUUUUUUUAUAUGCCUCUUCCUACAGAGCUAACCUUGCCCACAGUGAGCUGGAGGGAAGUCCGUGCUAGCAUCUGAAAUGCCACCUGUGUGUGCAGUGGUAAUGGACAAGAUACCUUCCUUCAUUACCUGGAGCAGAUAUCAGAAUGUAAUUUGCAAUGUCUAAUGUAAAUGUAAAACAUAUUUGUUUGUUUUGCUGUUUUGUUUGUUUUGUUUUUUAAUUGAGCAGUAUGAUUGCAAGUUGACUUAAGUUGUUCUAAGGUACUCUUUUCAGUGGUUUGCCAGUACAUAAUCAUGAAUGAAAAUAUUUUUUUAUUGAUUUUUAGGUUGUAUGUUUAACAUUCCAUUCAUGUAAAAUAUGUACAAAUAUAUGUAAUAAAUCUUUUGAAGCACA